UCCGCGGUAGCUCAUUGGUAGAGCAGCCGACUGUUAAUCGGCUGGUCGUAGGUUCGAAUCCUACCCGCGGAGCCA
rnacentral:tRNA from 1 species